CCCGACAUCAGGGAGCCUCAGUUGGCCAGAACUGAAUUAAUUCGGACGUGUUGGCUCUUCUCCUUUUGCCAGAGAUACCCUGAUGAAGGCUCGUGGUCUUGCCUCAUCACACAUCUCCCUUACAAGAGAAAUCGGUGCAGGAACGUCUGGUGGCCCUGCCCAGUGGAGCGUGUUGACUUCUGGGCAGACACGCUGGUUCAGGCAGAGGCGUCAGGACACACUGGACAUUCAGCCCUUCUCUGGGGCUGGUUCUCAUGCACGCAGGACCCUUUCCCUAUGAUGUGCAAGGGAGAUUAGGAUCCAGGGCUCCAUCCUACACAGGCCCAGGAGAUGUGAUAUAUCGGCAGCUAUCCCUGAGGGGGAGUAUCCUCGGAUAAACAACGGUUUUGAAAUUCUCUGACCGCUGUCAGGCAGAUCUCCAGAACUUCCAAGUUCACACAUUUUCACGAAUCGUUACCUUUCUCAUUCCUCCCUGAUUUACAAACCUCGACUCAUCUUCUAAUUCCCCAAUAAAUGAGUAAUUAUUGCAAUUAACACUGGU